rnacentral:lncRNA from 1 species
AUAUCGAAGAGGUAAUCAGCGGUGGUUAAAUAAGUAAAUAAGCAGGUGGCUGUCGUCACGGCGGGCGACAUCCGACGCCCCAGGCUGUGGGGUUUUGCAGCCUUUUGGCACUCGCAAGCCCUCAUCUGCCGAGCACUGUGUGAUACAAAGCGUGAGGAUAUCACGUACGGUACGGCAGCCGCAUUACGGAUCAAAGCCAUCCGUGCCAGCAGCUGUUCUCGCCCUCCCCACACACAGGGAUUCUCUCCACAAAAGCCCAGAAUUUCAUGACUCUGACAUCUGAACAGCUGAAAAUGGACAAUGUGAUAUGGAUGUGUUCAGCUCAAUGCUCAGCACCUACUCCUGUACUUCAGCACCCUGCACGUGUCGUUCCAACAGAACUCUCAGAAAUAGUUUAAUAUACCAAUAAAAAGUUGCAGUGCCUGAGGAAGCAUUAAAAGGAGAGACCUGCUUUGUGUAUACCCAUGCAAAUGAUUUCCUUAGCAGGAUUUGCAUGCAGCCCUGUCUGCAAAAACAUGACCGGUGCUUCCAAGAUGUGGUGCUGCCUGCACAUUGCUGGGUAGGGGUGG